rnacentral:lncRNA from 1 species
AGAUAUUGUCCGCUUUGGCCUCCACUUGCCUCACAGUUUUGUCCUUUUGACGGGUUCGAGAACUUCUUAGAAGGUCACCCAUCUUAGAAUUUCUCUGAACCAAACACGUCUAAUUUUGGAGUUUUUACAACUCCAUAGCCAAACAACUAAAAGUGCCUCAUGUAAUUAGUUCCAACUCUUUAUAUAUAUGUUAUCAAUCAUUUCCCGCUCUAUUUCGAUAUAUAAUUCAAUUUAUUCAUGUACCUCCAUAUCUUAGAGUGCUGCUACUGUAGAAGCCGCUCCUUGUUCAAACAUCGUAUCUUUGUCCCGGCGUCUACAUAAAACUUAAUAAUUAAAAAUUAAAAUCAUAUUAGCAGAUUUCAUAAUAUUAACAUAUAUGUAAAUUAAAUUCAAAAAAAAUAUAAAUCAAUCAUUUUAAUUUAUAAUAAAAUUUCUAUGUGAGUUCUAAUAUAAAAAGAUAAGUGAAGUUUUAAAUAUGAAAAAUAAAUUUUCAAAACACAUAUAUCGAGAACAAUGAACUUUAGAUUUUUACGGAUAAAUUAUAAAGUUUGAGAAUUAUGAGUACUAAGAUUUUAAGUUCUCAAAAAUUUAAGUUUUCACAAAAAGAACAGACCAUUACCAUAUAUAUAUCAACAGUAUUUUACAAUAUCCAGUUAUGUAAAAAAAAAAAAAAAAGCAUAUACAGCCAACCGAUUAUUGAUGGGAAAGAAGCAUUUCCUGAGACCAAUUCUCCAAAUAAUAAGGAUAGGAAAGAAGCUUCCUGAGACUAAUUGGUUCAUGAAAUAAUUUGGAUUUCUUAAAAAUACAAUAAAUGACACUAUAUGGUAUAUUGUAACAGAACAACUGCAAAAGCAAGUUGGGAGCUCUAAAUUUAUGUAUUAAUGGCUAAUCUUUCCCACCUUGAGAUCAAUAUAACCAAAACCCAUGAUGUAUAUAGCCAAAACUAAUAAAACAUAUUUGUGGUAUAAACACGGGAGCCACACUUUGUAAUUAAAUAAGGAAAUGCUAAAAUUUGUUCAGCAUACAUAUGCAAUAAGAAGUUCACAGUAAAUUGCUUCAUAGUAUAAUUCAUUUUUUUUUCUUUUUCUUUCUGAAAACCUGAAACACACAUAUUUGUAAUAUCAUGAGACAUAAAAGUAUGUAUACAGAAAAGAAAUUGAACAAUUGAAAAAACACAAUAAAGAAGACAAGAAAAUCCCAUGGCUCAAUCCCAUUCACAGAUGAUUCUAAUCUCUGUGCCAUUCACCUCCGAUCUUAGGUACAAAACAUUCGACAUGUUUAACUAUUUGAAAUUUGGAGCAGAUUAAGAAACACAAAUCAAUGGCAACUAAGAACCAACAAAUAUCCAACUAGAUCUAGAAACCUAGAUGGAAUUAGCCAUGGAUUUGAGUCACAAACCAUGAAAUCAAUUCAAAGAAUUGUAAAUCUCCAAACCUGUACCAAAAUUCUUUGCUUUCCGUCCAAAAUUGUUACGUCUCUCCCACUCAAAAACCCGUUAAAAAUAGAGAAAACAGAGAACAGGUCCCUAUAAUUCUGAUACAAAAUGCCAAUUGUGUUAUUCUCAAUAAAGAAGAGGAAAGUGGAAGAAGAAGAAAAAGAAGAGGAAGAGGAAGCAGAAGAAGAGGAAGAGGAAGAGGAAGAGGAAGCAGAAGAAGAGGAAGAGAGGAAGAGGAAGAAGAGGAAGAGGAGGAAGAAG